rnacentral:rRNA from 1 species
UUUUAUGAGAGUUUGAUCCUGGCUCAGGACGAACGCUGGCGGCGUGCCUAAUACAUGCAAGUCGAACGCUUCUUUUUCCACCGGAGCUUGCUCCACCGGAAAAAGAGGAGUGGCGAACGGGUGAGUAACACGUGGGUAACCUGCCCAUCAGAAGGGGAUAACACUUGGAAACAGGUGCUAAUACCGUAUAACAAUCGAAACCGCAUGUUUUUGAUUUGAAAUGCGCUUUCGUGUGUCGCUGCUGGAUUGACCCGCGGUGCAUUAGCUAGUUGGUGAGGUAACGGCUCACCAAGGCCACGAUGCAUAGCCGACCUGGGAGGGUGAUCGGCCACAUUGGGACUGAGACACGGCCCAAACU